UACGAAGGGGGCUAGCGUUGCUCGGAAUCACUGGGCGUAAAGGGUGCGUAGGCGGGUUUUUAAGUCAGGGGUGAAAUCCUGGAGCUCAACUCCAGAACUGCCUUUGAUACUGAAGAUCUUGAGUCCGGGAGAGGUGAGUGGAACUGCGAGUGUAGAGGUGAAAUUCGUAGAUAUUCGCAAGAACACCAGUGGCGAAGGCGGCUCACUGGACCGGUACUGACGCUGAUGCGCGAAAGCGUGGGGAGCAAACGGG
rnacentral:rRNA from 1 species